CCUUACAUCUCAUCUGUGUUCCAUACCAGUAUCUCUACACUCCUUGAUUAAGAGAACAACCAACCCAUAUGGCACACAAUGACCUAUACUUGAUAAAUAUUGUUGUCCUUGGUAACAAUGUAUCAUUUGGUCGCAAAUAGGUUUAAGGACUAAACGACAAAUCCUCCUUUGUCGAGUCUAAAUAGUUCUAAGGACUUCACCACAACAUAAGAGUUUAUUAGAAGAUGAAAUAAUUUAUGAUAAAAAAUAUCAAAAUAACUUUUAUUUAUUUAUAAUUCAUAUACUAAUACA
rnacentral:lncRNA from 1 species